rnacentral:snRNA from 1 species
AGCUUUGCGCAGUGGCAGUAUCGUAGCCAAUGAGGUUUAUCCGAGGCGCGAUUAUUGCUAAUUGAAAACUUAACAGUGUGAGAAUAUUUUUUUUCUGUAACAUAACAUCAUUUACUAUAAAAUGCUAAUAGGUUUUGCUAAUGACAUACUACUAAGGACA